CAUGCGACGACAGCAAGAAAAGAAACGACACUUUUUCCGGUAGCUCCGUGCGGUUGCAUCGUCGUCACCAUCGCGAGGAGGAAAUAAUUGUGCUGAUUGGCAGUUAAAUUCACCCUUCAUCAGCUUCGCGAGUGAGUUUUAGAUUUAACCGAUUAAAGCCGCUUCCAAACCAAAUCGAGCAAAGACGUCUUUGUUUCUACGACGUGAACCAGAUUUUCGGAGGAACAGCCGGGGAAACAAUCGCGGCAUAACGAGACUCCGAGCAGGGGGCGACUCCUCGAGCGAGCGCGGUUUUGGAUUUGAGGUGAGAAGAAAACCGACAGUAUGAUCAAACUGAACUUAAUCAAAAGUUUGACAAAUUAGGUGCAAACGCCGAGUGAAACUCGCACGGGAAGUCCGGAACCUGGCAGGACAGGGAAAAGGAGAAGCAGGCAGAUCACCAUAAUUCGGCUUCGGCCGAGAGUGCCAGCAUCUAGCGAUCUCAAGACAAAAGCCAGAGGUGAAUCGCGUGGAAGAGCACCACGAUUUCGGUCGGCAGAAACCGUCUACGGUUUGAGCAGUCAGUCAGGAUACAGACAGGACGAAAGCACCCCAUCGUUUGGGGUGUUUCUGGAGUAUCAAAACUGUUGAACGAUUUCGGACGGAAAUCUCGUCAUCGACGACGAGCUCAGCAAGGGCCUCGGAGAGAUCCCAUCCAGCAAAGCGGUCGCACUUGACGGCCAGAGGGGUCUCCAGCGGAGGCAGCAACCUUGUGAGUGGCGCGGCGAGCUUUUGGCAGAAUGCGUGUGUGGUGCGGCGAUAGUCGUCCGUCCGCGACAAGGAUCGGUACGGUAGGGGGACGCCCCAUGUAGCCGCUUCCGAAUACGAACAAGGGCACCGUGAGUACGGAGAAGAAACUGUGAGUAAGAAAACUGAGGUGUUUUGUAAAUUAGGAAGAUUGAGAAAGAGAAGUGAAAGGGAAAGAAGAUAAGAUGAGUAGGAGGUAGGAAGUA